CGUAAGUGCUGGGUGAGUUGGCGGAGAGAUUGCCUCCAGGCAAUGGUGUGGCGGGUUACAUCCAUGUAGAAUGUCAGUUGGCGGCCUUCAAAUGCUGUGGUAGGGGAAUCUCUGGUCGCCGCCACAAUGGUACCUCUGUCAUAGUCCCAAACAAAUUUAACCUGGAUGUCUCCUGGAGGGGCUCUAUGGGCCUUAGACAAUCGAAAGC